UACGUAGGGUGCGAGCGUUAAUCGGAAUUACUGGGCGUAAAGCGUGCGCAGGCGGUUUUGUAAGACAGAUGUGAAAUCCCGGCGUACUGGAGUGCGUUGUGACUGCAAGACUUGAGUGCGGCAGAGGGGGUGGGAAUUCACGUGUAGCAGUGAAAUGCGUAGAUAUGUGGAGGAACACCGAUGGCGAAGGCAGCCCCCUCGGGU
rnacentral:rRNA from 1 species